GACCAAUCUGGCUCCGGGCCUCUUCCUCCUCCUGCUGGAUCUUCUAAGGAAUGUAUGCAUACAGUAUCCCUCCUCAUUGCUGGGCUGUCAGACAUGACAAUCAGAAGCAUUAGCCCAUCCAGGACAACUUCAACUCUAAAAGACACUUAGAACACCUAACAAAAACAAUUCAAGAAAAGAGAGCACAGAGCCUUGUAUGGUGGCUGGAGCAAGCCUUUGAUCUCACCUCUUGGGAGGCGGAGACAGGCAGAUCUAUUGCUCUACAAGUCAACAAUUGCAGGCUACACUAAGGAUAGAACACAUGGCGAGGAUAAUGAAAGCCAGACCUGAGCUGACUAAAGGAAGGGGUGAAAAGACGAACGCUCCGUGUUGCGUAAGCAGACAGAUCCUGGUGUGCAGCUCCACAGCACAUGCUGGCAGUGGAAUUCCUCACGGGGGAGCACCUCCCUUCCUAUCUGCAUUCAAUAAAGAUAGUUCUCCCAUCC
ensembl:lincRNA